AUCAAUUCGGCCGGGAUUCUGCGUGCCGGACCAGUUCUCGAUUCUGGAAUUGAAGUCUACGAUGAGCUAAUGAAUGUGAAUGUUCGUAGUUUGAUCCGCCUGACACGUGCAGCUCUUCCACAUAUUAUUACAACAAAAGGAACUGUUGUCAAUGUCAGCAGUAUUAAUGGACCGUGCCCUGUAUGAUGUUAUUUUUUUGUUGAAAAUAAUUUUCAAAUUCGCAAUUUUCAGUUCCCAAAUGUAACCUAUUACUGUAUGUCCAAGUCGGCCGUAGAUCAAUUCACAAAAUGUUUGGCUCUCGAAAUGGCUCCGAAUGGAGUUCGUGUUAAUGCUGUUUGGUGAGUUUUCUCGCGAUUUUUGCCAAAAAACUACGGUGCCAGGUCUCGAAGCGAUCGAUUCUCUUUAAGGAGUACUGUAAUUACGAUUUUUUCGGUUUUUAGGUUUUUUAAAGAAAUAUUCGAAAAAUAAGAAAACAUAUACAUUUCUUCCAAAAAGAAGAAAAAUUGUCAAAAUUUCAAGAUAUUUUGCGAAAAAUCGGAAAAAUAUUUAUUUUUGAAAUCGAAAAUAUUUUUGGCUUUUUUUUUUUCGAAAAAUCGAAAAAUUAUCGGAAAAUAUGAGUAAGAACGAAAUCACAAAAAAAAACUAGGAAAAUUUCCUGAAAAUUCUAACUUUUUGCCGAAUUUUCAUAGGUUUUCUUGUUUUUGUUCAAAUUUUGAUGCAUUUUUAUAUUUUUUGAAUAAAAACGAAUUUUUUAAAAGACAGGAGCUAAACUAUGGAAAAUUGCUUUAAAAAUCUCGCAAAAACUAGGAGUAAGUAACUACAGUACACUACAGUACUCCUUUAAAGGCGCACGCACUUUUGAAUUGAAAAAAAAAAGAUCGCUUCGAGACCGGUUACCGUAUUUUGGUGCAAAAAUCGCUAACUUUCUCAUUUUUUGUCGAAUGAAACGCUAACAACACACGUAUUACGGGAACACAAAAUUUUGGGAAUUCGUCUUACGCAACAUAUUUGACGCGCAAAAUAUCAAAACUACAGUAAUCCUUUAACUGACUACUGUACUGCUUGUGUCGAUUUACGGGCUCGAUUUUGGAAAUUAAUUUAUUUUCUUCGUUUCUUCGUAUUAUUUUCUCAUUUUCAAUAAUCUUUUGAUAAAUAAAAAAACCCGUAAAUCGGCACAAGUGCAACAGUAGUCAUUUAAAGAAUUACUGUAGUUUUGAUAUUUUGCGCGUCACAUAUGAUGCGCAAUACGCAUUCUCAAAAUAUUGUGUUCCCUUAAUAAACCCAUAUAAAUUUGUCAUUUCUCCAAAAAUUUCAGCCCAGGGGUCACCGUGACCAACCUGCAUCGUACAUCUGGUCAAGACGAGACAACAUAUUCUGCGGUAUAAAACCUGCUGCACUGACCUUGACAAAUAAAUAUCAUCAUUUCUUUCAGUUCUUGGAACGUAGUAAAACGACACACGCACUCGGCCGUCCCGGUGAUGCCAAUGAAGUUGCUGAGGCAAUCUAUUUCCUCGCCUCUGAGAAAAGUUCAUUCACUACUGGAGAACUUCUUCGUGUUGACGGAGGCCGCGGAAUCAUGCAUCCGAGAUAAAUAUUAGCUUUUUUGUCUCAUAUUGAGAUUGUUUUGAACUUUUAUCAUGUAAUAAAUAGAGAGAUACAUGUAUUUUUUUUAAUUGUGUUUUUAUUGAAUCCUUUAUAGUGGUUUUUUCCUUGCUUAAUUUUUUUUUUUUUUGAAAAAAAAUCGAUUUUUUUUUGAUUCAGUUUUGAAUUUAUUCAGAGUAUCCGAAAAUGCCAGUCGCCAUCAUCACCGGAGCAAGUUCGGGAAUCGGAAAAGGCACGGCUCUUCUGUUCGCGAAAAAAAAGUACCAACUCUCGCUGACCGGAAGAAAUACGGAUUCUUUGAAGGAAGUCGCAGCACUAUGUAUUUCAGAGGGUGCAAUUUCGGCUGAUGAUGUGAGUUUUAUAUUUUAGGAACUGUGACGGAAAGUACAGUAUUACGGGAACACAGAAUUCUGAGAUUGCGUAUUGCGCAACAUAUUUGACGCGCAAAAUAUCUCGUAGCGAAAACUACAGUAAUCCUUCAAAUUACUACUGUAACUCUGGUGUCGUAAAUCAACACAAGCGCUACAGUAGUCAUUUAAAGAAUUACUGUAGUUUUGAUAUUUUGCGCGUCAAUUAUGUUGUGCAUUACGCAUUCUCAGAAUUUUGUGUUCUCAUGAUAGCAGUUAUCACAAAAAAAUUUCGAUUUUUUUUCCUCGUUUGUAAUUUUUGGAAACACCGUUUUUUUGUCGAAAAAACAAAAAAAAUUAUUUUUUUAAUUAAAAAAAACCGCCGCCAUGGUCUUGACACAUACAAAAAAAAAUAUUAAAACUCAUCGAAUAUCAAGAAGUAUACUAAAAAUCAUUAAAAAUUACAAACACUUGCAGGUACUGUAGCUAUGAAUUUUAUUAUGUCGUUUCGAGACCAAAAAUCGCAAAAUUUUGCAAAAAAAGGGGAUUGAACGUUUUUAGGUGGAAAAAAUAGCGACAUCAAUUAAAAAAUCGAUUUUCAUUCCAGAUUCUGAUAACUGCAGUGGAGCUGAGCUCUGAUGAGGCGCCCAAAGCAAUUGUGGAUGCAACUGUACAAAAAUUCGGAAGAAUUGACUCAUUGG
rnacentral:sRNA from 1 species